GGCUUGGGAAGCUGACAAAUGGGAGCAAGUGCUUUUUUCUCCAGCCCUGCAGUCUCCUUCACGUGCCUCCCCUUGGCAUAACCUAACUGGGAGUGGCUGGCAGAGCAGAAAUGUGGUUUGCAGGGUGGCCCAGAAUAGAAGUAAGGUGCUGGUAAAUGUUCAACUGACUCUGAAGGUGAGGCCAGGGAGGCCUUGAGGAAGAGAUGGUGGCCCAUCUGCCUUGGAAGGGUCAAGACUGGCCAAAGGUGUUCUUGGCUGACAAAAGAGCAAAGCUCUAUUCUGCAAUGGAAACUGGAGGGAAUCGGAUAGUAGGGAGGGGGAAGCCUAACAGAGGAGCUGCCCGGUACAAGGAGGAGACUCAUCUUGUUACAACCGUCUGUCCUCCAUCUGUGGCGGAAGCCAGUCCUUGAAACUGCAAGCCACCAGCUGCCUCGUUAGGAACGGAUCCAUCACAGAACCAGUAUGAGCCGCACCUUGAUGUGUGACUGGCUUUACAAGGAGUCUACCUUAUAUAUAGUUAGGACAUUAUUUCAUUUCUCAACAAGCCUAUGGCAACUUGCACCCCAAAAUGAGUUCUCAGGAGGCCCUGCAAAUCAGUCACCCGGUGAGGUCACAUACUUAGCCUAACACUGUGGCCCCAAUACACAACAUGCUGGCACAGCCACCCAACUUAUAGCCGUACUACUGGAUACGCCUAGUCCUGGCAAACUGUCAUCUUCCAUGUGAGGGCUGGAGUUUGGAGAAGAGCCAACAGCCAUUCAGAACCAAGUUUUGGGUGGAAGGGCCAUCAGCUAAGACCAUUUAUAAUAAGAAAGCAAGGGUAUGCCAAAGAAUGAGACAGCUUUCCUGUGUUUGAUCACAGACUGCCUCCAGACACGAAGUACUUCAUAAACGCUUUUGAGAAAUGCAGCUCUGUCGGAUAGUCCUUUACCCUUACUAUUUCCUGGUGGAGUUCUAGGUGCCCAGCACUCCUAAGGAGUGGGUAAAACUAUCUCAGUUCAACAGGGGAUGCACCUGAGGCACUAAGAACUGACUUAAGAAUACACAGCUAGGAAGGGGUGAAGCUGAGAUUUGACCGCCAGCAGCCUGACACAAGAGUUCAUGCUUUUAACCACUACAUCAAACUGCCUCCUGGUUAAUACAAGGGCGUUGCCUCCUACAGCAAAGACCUGAAAGGGAGCAAAGCCUGUUUAGAGACGUACACCGGACGAAUUAAUUAGAAAAUCAAUCUUGUCACUACAUGGUUAAAUCUUAAACAUUCAUUUGCAUAGAAUGUUUUGUUUGCUGGUGCAGCCCUGGAACCUAGUGUGAUGACUGGCACGGAGACAAUAAAAUUUUGCUAAAUGAAGAAGUAAAGGA